CCUACGGGAGGCUGCAGUGGGGGAUAUUGCACAAUGGGGGGAACCCUGAUGCAGCGACGCCGCGUGGAUGAAGACGCGCCUCGGCGCGUAAAGCCCUGUCAGCAGGGAAGAAAAUGACGAUACCUGAAGAAGAAGCCCCGGCUAACUACGUGCCAGCAGCCGCCGUAAUACGUAGGGGGCCAGCGUUAUCCGGAUUAACUGGGUGUAAAGUGGGCGCAGACGGCGAUGCAAGCCAGGAGUGAAAGCCCGGGGCCCAACCCCGGGACUGCUAUUGGACCUGGGUGGCUGGAGUGCAGGAGGGGCAGGCGGAAUUCCUGGUGUAGCGGUGAAAUGCGUAGAGAUCAGGAGGAACACCGGUGGCGAAGGCGGCCUGCUGGACUGCAACUGACGUUGAGGCCCGAAAGCGUGGGGAGCAAACAGGAUUAGAUACCCUUGUAGUC
rnacentral:rRNA from 1 species